rnacentral:rRNA from 1 species
GACGAACGCUGGCGGCGUGCUUAACACAUGCCAGUCGAACGGAAAGGCCCUGCUUUUGUGGGGUGCUCGAGUGGCGAACGGGUGAGUAACACGUGAGUAACCUGCCCUUGACUUUGGGAUAACUUCAGGAAACUGGGGCUAAUACCGGAUAGGAGCUCCUGCUGCAUGGUGGGGGUUGGAAAGUUUCGGCGGUUGGGGAUGGACUCGCGGCUUAUCAGCUUGUUGGUGGGGUAGUGGCUUACCAAGGCUUUGACGGGUAGCCGGCCUGAGAGGGUGACCGGCAGCGGUGGGAGUGAGAUGAGGCCCAGGAUGCGGCGGGGGGGAGCAGUGGGGAGACGGGGACGAGGGGGGGAGGCCGGAUGCGGCGAGGCCGGGGGCGGGAUGACGGGCUUGGGGGGGGAAGGCGCCGGCGGCGGGGGGGAGGGGGGAGGGGGGGGGAUGGGGAGAGAAGCACCGGCUAACUCAGGGCCAGCAGCCGCGGUAAUAAGCGGAAGAGCACACGGCUGAGC